UGAGCCCGAGCCGAGCCCGUGAGAGCUCGGGUUGCUCCAGCGACGCCGCCACCGCCAUCCGCCACCGACUGGCGUGAGCACCCCCUCCCCUUGGUGGGCCGCACUCACCCACCACCGGCGCUCCCGCCGCCCUUGCUCUCCACGGGUUUGGGAAGCUAGGGCAUCAAGGCCCGCCGUCGUCGCCGCCUCCCAUCACCUAUUGACGCGAGCCCCGGCCUCCUCUGACCUGGGGCACCUUCCCCU
rnacentral:lncRNA from 1 species